ensembl:snRNA LOC120098408 U1 spliceosomal RNA
AGCCUGUUUCGGCAGAGGAGGCACCACGAUAGCAAAGGGGGUUUUUCCCAGGGUGAGCCUUAUCCAUGGCAGUCUGGAUGUGCUGACCCCUGUAAUUUCCCCAAAUGCAGGAAACUUCAUAAUUUGAGGUAGUGGGGGACUGUGUUCUAAGUCUACCCA